GACGUCGAAUAUCGACGUCAUAAACACCAAAGUUGAUCGUGUUUAUGACGUCGAAUAUCGACGUCAUAAACAUCUAAGUUGAUCGUGUUUAUGACGUCGAAUAUCGACGUCAUAAACGCCAAAGUUGAUCGUGUUUAUUACGUCGAAUAUCGACGUCAUAAACACCAAAGUUAAUCGUGUUUAUGCCGUCGACGUCAUAAACAUCUAAGUUGAUCGUGUUUAUGACGUCGAAUAUCGACGUCAUAAACACCAAAGUUGAUCGUGUUUAUGACGUCGAAUAUCGACGUCGUAAACAUCUAAGUUGAUCGUGUUUAUGACGUCGAAUAUCGACGUC
rnacentral:miRNA from 1 species